rnacentral:lncRNA from 1 species
UUAUCCCAAACCUAGAUCUCGAACUCUCAAGUCUCAAUCUCCCUUCGGCCGACGGCAUCACCUCCCUCGACCCUCAUCGCCUUCGGUGGCUCUUCAUCGGUCAUCACUCAUCUGUCAAACUCAUCGGUAGCUCUUCGGCCGACGACAUCGCCUCUCUCGACGAUUUGAAAGUAAGUUCUUACUCGAAUUUCAGACAUUUUUGAUGAUGAUGUAACCGAUUGAAUAUGACAAGCUAUUGGCUACGUUGGUCGCAAUUUAUUUUUUUACAUGAAAAAAAAAUCUCUUUAAUCUUUCAUUAUGUUAUUUCUAAUAAGCAAUUUUAUCAUAAAAAUUUAAUUUAUAAUAUCAAUUAGUGUCUUUUUCGAUUCUUGAUUAGUGAUGCUCUUCUUUUAGGUUUUAGGUCCAAGGAUAAAUUAUUUGGAAGGCUUCUUGCAUAUUUGAACUUAAUUGGUUAUUGUCUUAUUGAAUUUAUUUUGAUACGCCUCCAGAAUUUUGCCCUUAAAUUUGCAUACAGUUGUUCUACAUGUUUCUCCAAUAAGCCUUGCAAUAUUGAUAAAUAAGAUAUGUACUACCUAUUAAAAUUAGAACAUAUAUGACCUAAAUGGUUAGUGUUUGUUUCUUUUUCAUUCUGUCUUUUUUCUGUUCAUUGUUUUGGAUCUAAUUUAUAGGUCAUAAGCUUCAACAAAAGAAGGUAGUAAAUUUACGUACUUGCUAUUGAUUUGUGUAGACAGUUCAACUUUUAGCUAGUGAAUACACUGUUUGAGGUUCCUUAUAUUCUUUCUAGCAUUCUUUUUUGUUUAAUAUGUAUAGUUGCAGUGACUUGCAGUGUCUUACUUGCAGUGUCUUGCAGACUUUCUAGCAUUCUUUUUUUUUAGCUAGUGAAUACAGAGUUGCAGACUUGUGUUUGUUAUUUCCUUUGUUCACAUCGGAAAGGGGUAAAAUGCAAGGUUGACCAUCGAACUUUAGGGGUUUUUGGGUAUUGAGCCCUUUUUUUUUGUCAACGCAUUUUGAGCCCUUUUCUAUUAAAAAAUUUGGACUUCGAGCCCCUGUUGCCAGACGUGGAAUAUAUGACAUGGGUAUUUUUAUUUUAAUUUUACAUGUGGCAUAUAUGAUGUGUCUGCUACCCAAAAAAAUUGUUGCUGCUCAGAUUCGAUCUCCAGAACUCCCACUCAAAUUUCAAUCCACUUGACCACCCGAGCACCACGGGUUAGCUAUUAUAUUUUCGCAAGGAUUAUACUUUAUAACCAAACAAAGAAUUUCCCCCAAAUUAAAUAAUACUAAUACUAAUACUAAUAAUAAUAAUAAUACUAAUAAUAAUAAUAACAAUAAUCACAAUAAUAAUAAAAAUAAAAAUAUAAUAAAAAAUAUAAUAAAAUAAUAAUAAUAAUAAUAAUAAUAAUAAUAAUAAUAAUAAUAACAAUAAUAAUAAAAAUAACAAUAACAAUAAUAACAAUAACAAUAACAAUAAUAAUAAUAAUAAUAACAAUAAAAAAUAAUAACAAUAAUAAUAAUAACAAUAACAAUAACAAUAACAAUAACAAUAAAUAUAACAAUAACAACAAUAACAAUAACAAUAACAAUAAUAAUAAAAAUAACAAUAACAAUAAUAACAAUAAUAAUAAAUUGAUGUUUUUCUUUUUGCUAAUUUUUUUUUUAAAACAAAAUACCACUAUACAUCAUAUUCACAAACAGUAUGCCAUAAAAACCCAAAAUAUCUCUACCACCAGUGGACCGCCACCGAUUAGAAACACCACCAUCACCACUGAUCAGAAAACUCCAUUAUCACCACAACUUGAAGCCCUAUUACUCAUAAAAUCACAUCUCUCAUCCCUAAUUAAAGGAAAGUGAAAGAAAAGAGGGAGAACAAAUCCAUUAACCCAAAUAUGUUUGUGCUCAAUCACUGCUAUCAGAAAAUAAAUCAUCACUGAGUUGCGACGGCAGAGCCGUGGAGGAGGUGGGGGAAGAGGAGAGAGAAAGAACGAAUCUUAGGUCAAAACAAGCUCAAACAAAGAAAUCAAUACAUAUACAACCAAAUGAAACAAAAUCAGAAUUCGAUAUUAUUAGAAUUGAAAAAUACUCUACAGGAAAUUAUAACUAUAAUCGCUUAGAUGUAUCUACCUCAAAUAAAAUCUUACAAAAAUAAUGACCUAUUCAACUGCACAGUUCUUAUAUCUCUAACUCUAAAAUGUUAAAUUCUUAGCACCGGCUACACUAAUUCCGGCACGUUUAACCGACUCAAACAAAGGGAUCACCAUUUUUCGGUGAUGAACCGGCCGAGAGAGCUCUUCCCCAAUAUCGAUAGCCACAUCGGAAACCCCCAUUUCUUUAAGUUGAAACCCUAACUUUUCGCCUAUCCUUGAAGCGAUCUUGGCGUCCCAGUAAUUGUGCGAUCUAGGGUAUCGAUUGAGCUUGGACCGGUACUGUGCUACGAAUUCUUGCUCUGAGGAUGAAGCCAUGGCCACAAUUGAUUCGGUGGUAGCGUUCGUCACCUGAGCUGUAAUUUGCCAAGGAGAAAAAUUAAUAGAGACUGAGACAGCAGAUCUAACUAAAUGGGUUUUGUUUUCAUUUGGGGGAAAUUGGACUGGAUGUUAUAAAUCAUAAUUGUUGUAAAAAAAAAUCAGCUAACCCGUGGUGCUCGGGUGGUCAUUGGGUUGAAGUUUCAAGUUGGAGGUCUGGAGAUCGAAUCUGAGCAGCAACAAAUUUUUUGGUUCAAGUCUAAUAACAUCCACGUCAUAUAUGCCACAUGUAAAAUAAAAAAACCCACGUCAGAUAUGUCACGUGUGCCACGUAGGCGCCACGUGAGCAAGUCAACGCAUAUCUGACAACAGGGGCUCGAAGUCCAAAAUUUUUAAUAGAAAAGGGCUGAAAAUGCGUUGACCAAAAGAAAAGGGCUCAAUACCCAAAAAUCCCUAAAGUUCAGUGGUCACAUUUGCAUUUUACCCCAUCAGAAAGUUAUUUCCUUUGCAUGGCUGUUUCAUAAGUUUUACUUACUUUGUCAAUAUAAUGAGCAAGUGUCUACUGUCUAACAUGCUGGCAAAUGUCAAGUGGCAAAUGAUGCUUUCUUUCAUUUAUAUUUGUCAACAGCAACUAGCAAGUGGUAGGAGGUUCAAGCAGCAAAUGGUCAUUGUAGGAACUCAGCAUCAGGCCAGCAGCAGCAGCAGCAAAUGGGCAACAACAGUCAGCAGCUUCAAGCAUUUUGGGCUAGCCAAAUUAAGUUUUCCAUUAUGUUUAUGGAUUAUGUUUAUGGUGUUAAUCAUUGUAGGAACUGUGUUGUUGUUUAUGGAUUAUGUUAAUGGAUUGUAGGAACUGUGUUGUUGUUGUUUAUGGAUUAUGUUUAUGGAUUGUAG